rnacentral:rRNA from 1 species
AGCAGCCGCGGUAAUACGAAGGGUGCAAGCGUUACUCGGAAUUACUGGGCGUAAAGCGAACGCAGGCGGACCGUUAAGUCGAAUGUGAAAGCCCGGGGCUCAACCCCGGAAGUGCAUUCGAAACUGGCGGUCUUGAGUACGGGAGAGGUGGGUGGAAUUCCUGGUGUAGAGGUGAAAUUCGUAGAUAUCAGGAGGAACACCGGUGGCGAAAGCGGCCCACUGGCCCGAUACUGACGCUCAUGUUCGAAAGCGUGGGGAGCAA